AUGUUUUGGGUCCUAAACUGCUAAAAAGUACAUUUUGGGGCCUGUUCUUCAUAUCGAAGCGUAACUUUGAUUCGAAUUUACUACAUCGGUCACUUGUAAUAUUGUUUCACACCUACAACACUUGUUACACAGAUCUAAGUGAUGGAAAACAGGUUGAUAUUUUCUACACUAGAAACUACCAGAUAACAAGCUGCUAUAUUUAAACCAGUUAUCAAUAGCUAAGAGGUACUUAUACAAUAUUGUAAUUCUAGGGCAAUACCCUCACAAGUCAAACUGAG